UACGAAGGGGCUAGCGUUGCUCGGAAUUACUGGGCGUAAAGGCGCGUAGGCGGAUCGUUAAGUCAGAGGUGAAAGCCCAGGGCUCAACCCUGGAAUUGCCUUUGAUACUGGCGAUCUUGAGUACGGGAGAGGUGUGUGGAACUCCGAGUGUAGAGGUGAAAUUCGUAGAUAUUCGGAAGAACACCAGUGGCGAAGGCGACACACUGGCCCGUUAACUGACGCUGAGGCGCGAAAGCGUGGGAGCAAACAGG
rnacentral:rRNA from 1 species